CCUACGGGAGGCAGCAGUGAGGAAUAUUGGUCAAUGGGCUUACGCCUGAACCAGCCAAGUCGCGUGAGGGAAGACUGCCCUAUGGGUUGUAAACCUCUUUUGUCAGGGAGCAAUUGGCGCUACGUGUAGCGUUAUCGAGAGUACCUGAAGAAAAAGCAUCGGCUAACUCCGUGCCAGCAGCCGCGGUAAUACGGAGGAUGCGAGCGUUCUCCGGAUUGAUUGGGGUUAAAGGGUGCGUAGGCGGAAUGCCAAGUCAGCGGUAAAAUCGCGGGGCUCAACCUCGCUCCGCCGUUGAAACUGGCGUUCUUGAGUGGGCGAGAAGUAUGCGGAAUGCGUGGUGUAGCGGUGAAAUGCAUAGAGAUCACGAAGAACUCCGAUUGCGAAGGCAGCAUACCGGCGCCCAACUGACGCUGAAGCACGAAAGCGUGGGUAUCGAACAGGAUUAGAUACCCUUGUAGUC
rnacentral:rRNA from 1 species